GAUGAACGCUGGCGGCGUGCCUAAUACAUGCAAGUCGAGCGAACAGACGAGGAGCUUGCUCCUCUGACGUUAGCGGCGGACGGGUGAGUAACACGUGGAUAACCUACCUAUAAGACUGGGAUAACUUCGGGAAACCGGAGCUAAUACCGGAUAAUAUAUUGAACCGCAUGGUUCAAUAGUGAAAGACGGCUUUGCUGUCACUUAUAGAUGGAUCCGCGCCGCAUUAGCUAGUUGGUAAGGUAACGGCUUACCAAGGCAACGAUGCGUAGCCGACCUGAGAGGGUGCUCGGCCACACUGGAACUGAGACACGGUCCAGACUCCUACGGGAGGCAGCAGUAGGGAAUCUUCCGCAAUGGGCGAAAGCCUGACGGAGCAACGCCGCGUGAGUGAUGAAGGUCUUCGGAUCGUAAAACUCUGUUAUUAGGGAAGAACAAAUGUGUAAGUAACUAUGCACGUCUUGACGGUACCUAAUCAGAAAGCCACGGCUAACUACGUG
rnacentral:rRNA from 1 species